rnacentral:rRNA from 1 species
UACGGAGGAUCCGAGCGUUCUCCGGAUUUAUUGGGUUUAAAGGGUGCGUAGGCGGUUUGAUAAGUUAGAGGUGAAAUGUCGGGGCUCAACCCCGAAACUGCCUCUAAUACUGUUGGACUAGAGAAUAGUUGCGGUAGGCGGAAUGUAUGGUGUAGCGGUGAAAUGCUUAGAGAUCAUACAGAACACCGAUUGCGAAGGCAGCUUACCAAACUAUAUCUGACGUUGAGGCACGAAAGCGUGGGUAGCAAACAGG